rnacentral:tRNA from 1 species
GUGUCUGAUUAAAAAGUAAUAAAUUGUAAAUUUAUAAAUAAAAUAAUAAAUUUUGA